CAGUGGUUACCCUGUGACAAACUUGACGUGGUGUUGCACAGCGAGUCGGGGGAUAUUUUCGAUUUGCGGAGCGGUCUGGUAGGAUGUCUGGUAGGCCUAUCAUAAUAAUAUUAUGUUAAAGUAUUAAACAAUAAACAGUAUUUUCGAAAUUACGAAAGUAAGUGUAAGUAGUCAGUGAUUGUCGAUUGAAGACUGAAGUAGGUAUAUUGAACAAUUGAAGGGUGGAAAUGCGAAAGGUGGUAUUGCCAAAAACCAAAAUGUUCACAAAUCAAGGAAAACGGUACUGAGAAUGAGAGAAGCAGAGAACUAAAGAAGAUCUCCUCUACUAUGUUUUGUCAACGAUCACUUUGAAAAAUACACAGAUUCAGAUCAGCGUAGACACUUAUCUGCAGAAAACAAUUAGAUAAUUUAUAUAGAAGUUUGUGCGUUGCCAUAAUGGAUAUAACUGAAAAAGUUUUGGAAAAAUUACAAAUCCAAGUACUCAAAGAUGGAAGUUGUGAUUGCAAUGAUGAAGAAUGCAUUGGGUGCUUUUGGCCGUGUGAAUCGUGCCAGUCAAACAAAUGUGGACACCUAUGCCGUAUCAAUCGUGGGUGGAAGUAUGAAGUAUGGGAAAGACAAGGAAGAAGUGAUAAAUAAUAAUUUGUAUCUUAAUUAUAUUUUAAAUAUUGUAAAUAUAACUAAAUACAAUUUAAUUCUAUGAUAAUAUUGUAAAUAAAUUGUAUGUUUUUAUCAAUCAACAAAUUUGUAUAGGACUAACCAAAUAAACCUUGAAGUUAUUCAGCA